rnacentral:rRNA from 1 species
UACGAAGGGGGCUAGCGUUGUUCGGAAUCACUGGGCGUAAAGCGCACGUAGGCGGACUCUUAAGUCGGUGGUGAAAUCCUGGAGCUCAACUCCAGAACUGCCUUCGAUACUGGGAGUCUCGAGUCCGAGAGAGGUGAGUGGAACUGCGAGUGUAGAGGUGAAAUUCGUAGAUAUUCGCAAGAACACCAGUGGCGAAGGCGGCUCGCUGGCUCGAUACUGACGCUGAGGUGCGAAAGCGUGGGGAGCAAACAGG